CGUUCCGUUACCGUUUAAAGGCUAAAAAUACAUCAUGGCUGAUUCGGAACGAGAAGCGCCGAGCGCCUGUAAGAGACUUAAGCAGGACACUAUCUUUGAAAAAUUUAAAACAGAUUUUAAGGAUUUGGGACGUCUCAAAAGCGCAUACAAGUCUUUGUGUUUCGAUAGGAGAAAUCCCCUUAUUGCGCAAGAAAUUAUAUCGUGCAAUGCAGCAACAGGUUACGGGAUAAGUUUCUCACGGGCAUCGUGUGAAACAAGACCCUACACUCAGGAGAUAUAUCCAUUUGGUAGCAUAUUUACUGACGGUAUUGAAUUAUUAAACGACUUCUUCACGAAGACAGACUAUGUUCCAGACAACAUGACGUUUAGGUUGCUUCUAGCAAAGUUGAUUCAUUUUUUAAUGGACGAAAAAUCACAUGCUGCAAUAAGAAAAAUACAAAGAACAGAUGUUUCAGAGACUGAACUAAUGAUCAUCUUGGCAGAACACUUCUUCAGCAGACUCUCUCUCUCUAAUACUUAUAGUAUGGAUCAUUUUGCAAAGUACAAGGGCAAUUUAUUAUGCAAAUGUGGAUCAUGCAAGCCUGAAAGUCUUGCAGCCAACUUUGAUGAUACAAGUAUAGGUCAUAUGAAAAUACCAGAAAGGAACAUAACUUGAGAACCCUUUGACAUCAGGACUUCAAAUUUGGAACAUGAAGAGGAAAUCGAGAUUGCUGGCAUGGAUCACUUGACAUCCUCCUUGGCAGUACUGAAUCUUUUAUUCAUGUUGCAUCAGUAGAAGAGGAACUAAGCCCGGGUGAAAUAGCACCCUUUGAAGUUAAACUGAAAAAUGUUGAAGAAAGAAGAUUUCGUAGUCAGACUUUGGCACAGGUUAUUGCGUUUUCUUUUUUGCAGAAAGCCAGCCAUCCUAGUUUAGAAAACUUUCUUAUUCCUUGCAUGGCAGCAACUAAGAAAGAGUUGAAAAUUUAUUUUUAUGACUGCAAGUAUGAUAUUUUGCUGGAGAGUAGAGGAAUUCCAUUAUUGGUUGAGAUACCUGGAUCAAACAGUCAGCCAUUAAAUUUUGAAGCCAUUAUAGCUGCAUGGCUUGUUUUGAAUUACAAAUAUUUAUGUAGUGGGCCUUUUGAUUCACUACUUAAAGCUCCAAAAGCAAAUUUUUUCAAACAUGCAGAACCAUGCCUCGAAAUCUAUGAAAAAGAGCUCUUGUAUCAGCAUGUUGGAGAGCAAACUACUAUUUUAGAUUAUGGCUUUCUUGACAUUACAAAGCCAAAAUUUGUAUGGCCAUCAAACCUAUCUUGUAAACCUGUUGAUUCUGAGAAUGAGUACUAACUGUUAACAAAGCACACUUUGUCUAUAACUGUUUUCUUACUUGAACUGUAUUUGUAUGUAGAGAAUUUAAUAUAUAUCUCAAUCAGAUCAAAACUAAGUCUCCUCAAUCAGAUCAAAACUAAGUCUCAUUAUUAGAAGAAAAAGAAUAAAGUAUUCUUGUUUACUUACUCAGUUUCACUAACGAACCAUGUUGACUUAUUGCAUUCAUCAGUAGCAGAAAAAUUGCGUAUCUAAUAUCAAUCUGGAUGACUCUCGUUUCUUUAAAAUGCAGUAUUCUUGUUGAUUACAACGCCGUUAUCUUAUGAAUAUUUAUGAAACGAGGAAUGUAACAUAUCAGUAAUUUGGGAUUUUAUUCGCGUAUAUAGCACAAAAUGAAUUUAAAUGUUAUUGAAAAAUCUUCAAAAACUGUUUACAAUCAUGCACAUUUAAUUUUGAUGAUACAAACAUCUCAAUUUUUUGAUUUUCUGCCUGCAGAUUGCCGUUGCUAGGAUCACUGUGUAUAUUCAGGAACGUCCACAGGCCCACAAUAGCGGCAACAUAUGACAGUUUCUAUAAAUAGCCACGUCUAAAAAUGUCUUUCAAUUUAUCUCAGUAAAAUAAUCAGUUAAGGGUACAACUUCAAUAUAUGUGAAUCAAUAACGGACAUCCAAUAUUUUUGGCAUACACAUGUAAAAUUUCAACAUAUGAUUUGAAACUAAAAGGAGCACUCAAGGUAAACAUAUGUUUUCAAACAUGAUUAACAUAAUAUAACAUGUUUGUAUUACUUUAUGAUAAACAUAUAUUUGUAUGAUAUUCACAUGUUUUUCUUUAUGAUUUUCACAUUAUCUACAUGCAAAAAUAUCAUGUUUAACUUAUAUUAAACAUGUAUUUAACAUAUAAUUAUCAUAUUAAACAUAUGUCUAACAUGCAUUUUAAAACAUAUGUUUAGGAUACUUUAACAUCUAUUCACCAUGAUUUGAAACACAAUAAUCGUGAAGGGGCACACAAUAUAUGUUUUCGAACAUUUGUGUAUCAUGUGUUGAUAAUGUACAUUAGAUAAAAUAUGCAUAAAUAAAUAUAUGUAUGUA